rnacentral:rRNA from 1 species
AUUGAACGCUGGCGGCAGGCCUAACACAUGCAAGUCGAGCGAGCGGCGGACGGGUGAGUAAUGUAUGGGGAGCUGCCCGAUGGAGGGGGAUAACUACUGGAAACGGUGGCUAAUACCGCAUACUAUCGGAUGAACCCAGAUGGGAUUGGCUAGUCGGUGGGGUAAAGGCUCACCUAGGCGACGAUCCCUAGCUGGUCUGAGAGGAUGAGCAGCCACACUGGGACUGAGACACGGUCCAGACUCCUACGGGAGGCAGCAGUGGGGAAUAUUGCACAAUGGGCGCAAGCCUGAUGCAGCCAUGCCGCGUGUAUGAAGAAGGCCUUAGGGUUGUAAAGUACUUUCAGCGAGGAGGCGUUACCCGCAGAAGAAGCACCGGCUAACUCCGUGCCAGCAGCCGCGGUAAUAC